GUUUUCUAGUUUAGAGAUAUUGUGUGUUUAACUUUAGGAGUGAAUGAGGGAUUUUCAGGUAUCUAGGCAAGUGAUCAUAACUUUCUUCACCACAGUAAUGACCUUGAGAUUUUUAUAGAUGCCCAGACAAUAAAUGACGGUGCCUGUACCAAUGUGUUGACCUUCAGGUUCUGCCAAUAUCCAGGUUUCAGUCUAAAGAUCAAGGU
rnacentral:lncRNA from 1 species